AGCUCCAAUAGCGUAUAUUAAAGUUGUUGCAGUUAAAAAGCUCGUAGUUGGAUUUCUGGUGGGGGAGGUCUGGUCCGCCCCGCUUUUAGGGUGCGAGUACCGGUCGCCUCUCCGCCAUCCCUUGGCGCCGUGUGCGUGGGUUCGGUUUGUUCCGCGCCCCGCACGUUCAAACGGUCGCCAUCGUUUACUUUGAAGAAAUUAGAGUGUUUCAAGCAGGCAUCCUUGCCGUUGAAUACAUUAGCAUGGAAUAAUGAGAUAGGACUUGGGUUCUAUUUUGUUGGUUUCUAGGGCCGAAGUAAUGAUUGAUAGGGAUCGUUGGGGGUGCUUGUAUUGAGCGGCCAGAGGUGAAAUUCUUGGAUUCGCUCAAGACAAACUAAUGCGAAAGCAUUCACCAAGGAGGUCUUCU
rnacentral:rRNA from 1 species